UCAAGGCACUUGGUCAGCAUGGCAGGGCCUCUUAAAAGUAUUUUUCCAGCCCUGCAGAAGGAGAAAAGUGAACUCCAAGCCUGUGAAGAAGCAGCCUGGGAUCCAGCAGCCCCUGCCACGUGAGGUGCAGGUUGCAGAAAUGAAGUUGGAAGUUAAUUGUUCCUGCUGCUGAAGGGCCCAGGAGAGAGGAGCGUGUCAAGUGUGAUGCUGCUUAACGUGUCUGAGACAACAGUGUGAGAGUACUGAAGGUAAGACCCUGUGGACUGAGCCAUAUUUCAUCACAAACAGAGCCCUUUAACCAACAAACUUGUUCUGGGAAAGUUUCCAACUCCGACAAUCUCUGGCGUUGUGGGGUGGUGGGAUCUCUCAUGCUAGGAGCAUCAAAGGAGUCUCUGGAGAUGCUUUAACAGAGGACAGGAGCCUGGGAGGGAGACUUCAAAAUCCUGGCAAGGGUACAAAUAAAAUACACUUUGGUCUUAAAUUAAUGUAAAAUUUUAUGAAACUGUCUCUCGGAGAUUAUUCCCAAUGUGGAGUUAAAAACCAAACAAGCAAACAAAAAGCAACAACAACAAAAAAAUCCCUGGCUGGUGUCCACAAAGAACAAGUGCUGUGGUUUCCAACCUCUGAACAUUAUCCUCCAGGAACUGCCUCUUUGGGAAGAUUCCACAUCACCAGGCUUUAUCUGCAUCCUCUGCUUAAAAAAAUGAUGACAUCCCAGGUCUCUGAACAAAAGAGAAUUUGUCCUUUGACCUAAACACUGAUUUAUGCCAAGGCUUUCCCUGGUAGGUCCUGCCUGUGCCCUGCCAGCCUGUGUCCACUCUCUGGACAUCGUGGGGUUCUCUCAGCUCCAGGAUAUUCAUCCUGAAUAUCCAAGCUCCCCAACCAGGGCCUCCCUGUGACCAGAGAGCUGGGGUGGGACGUGUCCAUCCUGGGAAGCAAACAAGAAACACAAAGGAAGAGGAGAAAAAACAAAACAAAACAGAAAAAACCUAAACUCAAAAAGAGAAGGAAUUAAAAGAAAAGAUAAAAAUAAUAAUAUUAUUAAUGACAAAUUUUAAUUAAUAAGUGGCUAAUUAAUUUUCUAAGCACCAUAAAAUUGCCAUAGCAGCCUAAUUGCUUUGCUACUCUUGCCACCAGGCAGGGAGGAGAUGAUGAGUUCUAAUCCCCUGCAUUUCGACGUGGGAGGUGCUGAUGAAGGGGACACGCUGGGCUCAGCAGGGGCGGUGCCACCACACGGGGACCUGCCCUGUCCCCUCCAGGUGCCACUGUCACCUGAGAGCUGCCAGCAGGAGGAGCAGGGCUGGGAGCGGGUGGGGCGGUGGCUCUGACCUCAGCAGGGAUACAGGGACCACAAGGGGCUUGCAAAUGGAUUUGCAGCUUGCCACGAUUCUGGAAGAGCAUGAAGACACCACGGGAUUACUGCAGCUGAUUUCAUCCUCUCUUGCAAACCCUCUUACCCUUUUGAAAAUAUUUUUUGACUUAACGCCAGCACAGAUUAUUGGUUUUAUGCUUCUUGCUCUGUAACAACCACGUACUUACAGGAACUUGUAGGAACUCACUUAGAGGAUCUGGGCAUGUGCAGAUAUCAGCUCCCAAAUGCACAGGAGCUCCUCUUGAUGCCCUCCAGAAGAAUCCACACCACCUCAGGGGUUUGUUCCUCUGGCUGCCUGGGGCAGGUGUGCACAGCCCAGCCACCUCCUGUCCAGGGCACUGUGCUGGGAACAGCAUGGUCACUUUGAAGCAGUCAUUCAGUGAGAUGGAUUUUUUUUUUUUUCCUGGGCUGUUUUUGCCAUCAGUUCUGUGAUGAGCAAUUUGGAUUUAUUCACACUGACCCCUCUCAUGUGCUGGGUGUGUUUUUAGGAAUGAGUCCUUUCUUUUCCUAAAGGUGGUAAUCAAUGAAACCACAUCAUCAUUUACCAUCGUGUUAUUACUAAAUGAGAUUUCAUCUCUUCCUGCAAUUCCUGAAGAAAAAAAGCAAUGUCUGGUUGGGGGCUAUGGGCUCUGUGGGGUACAGCACAAAUUCUAUUAUUUCACACGAUUUGUGCUGCUGACUCUUCCUCCUCUGCAUAUUUAUCUUCCUUCCAUUCCCAACAAACUUGUUUUUUCAGCACUUCUUUGUCAUAAGGAUGAUGAGGAUUAACUAAAUGCAUGUAAACAUAACCAUAAAAAGGGGGGAAAUUACACUGCAUGAGCAAACCUGAUACUCUUCCCAGUUCAUUAGAAUUUAAUGAAGAAAUACUCAGUGCCCAACAGGGGAAUCCUAAUUCAUUAUGUCUUUUGAAUUCUCAUUAAGCAUAUGCAUGGUGACUACUGGAAACCUGCACCCUUUCAGCUCUGUUGUCCAUUACCCUGACUAAUAAAUAGUCAUUAUACUUAAA